rnacentral:rRNA from 1 species
GACGAACCGUGCGAACGUUAUUCGGAUUCACUGGGCUUAAAGGGCGCGUAGGCGGCAGUCCAAGUCCGGGGUGAAAUCCUUCGGCUCAACCGGAGAAGUGCCUUGGAUACUGGACGGCUCGAGGGGGAUAGGGGCACGCGGAACUUCCGGUGGAGCGGUGAAAUGCGUAGAUAUCGGGGGGAACACCAGCGGCGAAGGCGGCUCUCUGGACCACAACUGACGCUGAGGCUCGAAAGCUAGGGGAGCAAACAGGAGUUAGA